rnacentral:lncRNA from 1 species
UUACGUCAGACUCCAAACAAACAACAAACAAACGGGAAACCGAAUGCCAAUCGCUGGACUUACAUCAGACUCCACACAAGCAAACACGCACAGGAAACCGACUGCCAAUCGCUGGACUUACGUCAUACUCCAAACAAGCAAACACACACAGGAAACCGACUGCCAAUCGGUGGACUUACGUCAGACUCCAAACAAGCAAACACACACAGGAAACCAAAUGCCAAUCGGUGGACUUACGUCAGACUCCAAACAAACAAACACAAGAGGGU